rnacentral:misc_RNA from 1 species
GGAUGGGGCUUGCAGAGGGUUCAGACUCCUUACACAACUCGCACUAUAGGGACGCUGAAUGUUGAGAUAGAGAGAGCGGUGGUAUUGUAUGUGUUUGAAUACAACUACUCACUAGGCGAUUGAGAGGAGGAAGUUCAAUGAAUGGUGAAUAGCUACAUAUAUGGCUGAAAUAUAGCCGGAUUGUGCUAUAUGAUUUCACCAAUUGUGUUUGUAUUUGGAGUAGGCCAUCAAUCACCAACUAGAUAUGCAGAUCCAGAAAAUAAACACCAACUUCUUGGUGAAGUGAAGGAAGAAAUUUGGCAUCAACGUUUAGGUGAAAGGGAAACACACCUGCCAUUGAUGCGUUAGCAAUUAAGAACAAGGGAAAAAAAUGUUGAAGUGGUAUGCAUUUGCUUCCAGUUCAGUGUAUUCUAUAUCGUUAUUGUAGAACUUGAAUUAUCUGCUGUUACUAGGGAAGUUUUCAUCUUCAGAGCACCCGUAAUACACUCAACUUGCCUUCAAGAGAAGGGUGAGGAGGAGAGUACUGUGGAUCUUUCCUAAAGAUCAUAUUGAUGUUUCUCAUGCUUGAAAUCAGACCACAAGUGCCAAUACCGAAACUUGGCGUUGUUCUCGCAUACCCAGUAUCUUCGACAUAACCUGCAAGUACACCUUCACUCCAUGCUUCUUGCAGCAGGUUUAAGUGUUCGGAAGUUCUUCAAUGGCUUUUCUCAUCGGCGGUUUGAUAUUGUUCCUAGAGCCUGGAGCAGAGCAGUGUGAGAAAGAAGCCUUUAGCAUUGUUG